AGCCCGGUCGUCUAGCGGUCAACUCCUAAAAGGAGGCUAAGGAUUUCAGGCUCUGGAUCUUAUAGAAAAGAAACCUGGAGACAGCAGUUCGAAUCUGCUCCGGGCUA
rnacentral:tRNA from 1 species